UGCCGCUCACGCCCGGUCGUACU
rnacentral:snRNA from 1 species